UCCGUUGUGGUGUAAUGGUUAGCAUCAGUCGCUCUCAUUCAUGAUCCGACUAGAUCGGGGUUCAAUUCCCCGCAACGGAA
rnacentral:tRNA from 1 species